AGAAUAUAGACAGACCCGAAGAAAGUAUCAAUGACUACUUCUCUUCUCCUUUGCCUGGCCUCGGAUGGAUCGUGCGGAUGAAACGAUUCAGCCACCUUCAACCGUUAGCACCACUGGUCAGUGAGCAUCACUUCUCCUCACUGACACUCGACCAAGGUAAACCCUUCUAGCACCUGGAAUGGCCCAUUCUUUGAGCCUGACUGCUCCAGGGGUCUUUAAGUGGGGCUCGAGUCCCUGUUCCCGUGCUCCGCGAGGAAAAUUCGGCAUGCUUGUUUCGAGGCUCCCCUCUACUUCCUUCCGAGUUCGAGCCGUCCAAGAUGAUGAAAGGCCUCGAAGACUAAUCGACAUUAUUAGAAUUGUCCCUGAGAUCUCGAGGAAUUACUUCCGUAGUCGUCCUCGGAGGGCGCUCUUUGGUGGGAUCUCUCUUCUAGGGGGUUUUUAUGUUGCACAAACAAUCUCCUUGUCAUUUGGAGCAUUAGGGGUGAACGAUGUCAUUGCUGCUGUACUCUGUGUUCUCUUGACAGAGUAUGUUACCAGGUUUUACUACAGCCGACCAAAGGUUACUUUCCCCGUCGCUCUUCUCAAUAAUUUCAAGAUGGGUUUCACCUACGGACUCUUCAUUGAUGCCUUCAAGCUUGCUAGUUAGCACAACGGUUAGAGGAAAGGUAUAGAUGUCAAAUGGCAGCAUUUUACCUAUGUACAUUUUGUAGCGUACGAGAGUACAAUCCUCACUCGUAUCCUAUCUUGCUUGCUUACUAGCCACAUUAAAGCCUUGUUGAUUUAUACAAUUUUGCUCUCUUCUGUUAGAUAUCCUGAUUGCCACUUGUUGAUACAGACAUGCAGCUCAUGUUGAUCUGGGCAACCUCUCUGCUCACUUCAAGUAUUCUGAGUUUGCUUGGUAAUGGAUGAUCUUCAAAUUUCUUGAAUUAUGAGACUUGGGGGGGGCUCAUGUAUGAAAACCAAAAUCUGUAUUUCCUCUCAGCUUGAGUGUGCAGGUGCUUAAGAUUCUGGAAUUACUUGCUUUUAGUUGUGUGAAUGAAGAGGUUGGUUAUUACAAGCGAGCUUUAGAAUAUGUAGCAAUUUCCUUCACUGAAUAGCUGAUGUUCGAGGUUUCUUCCUUCUUCCUUUUCUCAGUCUGCGGUUUACAAGACUUACUCUGACUGAACAGUUCUAGGCAGCAACUUCCUGACAUGCCUUGGAGGAUUAUAUAUCCCUCUAAUCCGAAGGCUCACGCGCCCAUUCCGGGUGACAAAUUUGACUUUUUUGGGAGGUUUGUGGAUGACAUCUCCUGCUCUCACGGGUAGUUUUGCAGAUCUAGUCGUUACUUCAGUCCUGUGCCGAAAGCAUAAGAAACCUUGCUUUGCAUUGUAUCGAUUUGUUUGGAGCUGCUGGGUUUAUGAUCGUUUCUGUCAUCGUUCUUCUGUUUAGCAUGGCAUUUUUCCUGAAACUGUAAUCGAAAGCUUUUAGCUGCCAUGAAGUAAUAACAUAUGCAGCUAACAUGAUGUGCUCCA